UACGGAAGGGGGCUAGCGUUGCUCGGAAUCACUGGGCGUAAAGCGCACGUAGGCGGCUUUCUAAGUCAGGGGUGAAAUCCUGGAGCUCAACUCCAGAACUGCCUUUGAUACUGAAGAUCUUGAGUUCGGGAGAGGUGAGUGGAACUGCGAGUGUAGAGGUGAAAUUCGUAGAUAUUCGCAAGAACACCAGUGGCGAAGGCGGCUCACUGGCCCGAUACUGACGCUGAGGCACGAAAGCGUGGGGAGCAAACAGG
rnacentral:rRNA from 1 species